GCGGCAAAAGCUUAAAAUGAGCGCCGGCCUUGUAAGCCGGAGGAUGAAGUAUACCUUCUUGCCGUA
rnacentral:tRNA from 2 species